rnacentral:rRNA from 1 species
UACGUAGGGUGCAAGCGUUGUCCGGAAUUAUUGGGCGUAAAGAGCUCGUAGGCGGUCUGUCGCGUCUGCUGUGAAAACUCGGGGCUUAACCCCGAGCCUGCUUCCGAUACGGGCAGACUAGAGGUAGGCAGGGGAGAGCGGAACUCCUGGUGUAGCGGUGGAAUGCGCAGAUAUCAGGAAGAACACCGGUGGCGAAGGCGGCUCUCUGGGCCUUACCUGACGCUGAGGAGCGAAAGCGUGGGGAGCAAACAGG